AGAGUUUGAUCCUGGCUCAGGAUAAACGCUGGCGGCGUGCCUAACACAUGCAAGUCGAACGUCCUGGUCCUUCGGGAGCAGGGAGUGGCGGACGGGUGAGGAACACGUGGGUGACCUACCCCCCGGUGAGGAAUACCGCCGAGAAAUCGGCGACAAGACCGCAUAGGCUCGCGCGGUUUGGAGACCGAGCGAGCAAAGCUUCUCUUCGCGAGAGGAGAGGCGCCAGGGGAUGGGCCUGCGUCCGAUUAGCUGGUUGGUGGGGUAAUGGCUCACCAAGGCUGCGAUCGGUAGCUGGUCUGAGAGGAUGAGCAGCCACACUGGGAUUGAGAACGGCCCAGACUCCUACGGGAGGCAGCAGUGAGGAAUUUUCCACAAUGGUCGAAAGACUGAUGGAGCAACGCCGCGUGCAGGAGGACGCUUUUCGGAGUGUAAACUGCUUUUCCCAGGGAAGAACAAGGACGGUACCUGGGGAAUAAGCCCCGGCUAACUACGUGCCAGCAGCCGCGGUAAUACGUAGGGGACAAGCGUUGUCCGGAGUUACUGGGCGUAAAGCGCCCGCAGGCGGUCCGCUAGGUUUGCGCUGACAGCUCCUGGCUUAACUGGGAGAGCGGUGCGAAAACGGGCGGACUUGAGGACCAGAGAGGGACAUGGAACUCCGGGUGUAGUGGUGAAAUGCGUAGAUAUCCGGAAGAACACCAAAGGCGAAGGCAGUGUCCUGGCUGGUACCUGACGCUGAGGGGCGAAAGCUAGGGGAGCGAACGGGAUUAGAUACCCCCGUAGUCC
rnacentral:rRNA from 1 species